rnacentral:lncRNA from 1 species
GCAAAGGUGAAAAGGAUGUGCUGCUUACCGGCAGUAGGGAAAAUUCCCUGGAAAACUAUGAGAGCCAUCCUUUGAAGAGUGAGUGGUUGUAUGUUUGUGUGAAAGGGUGUGGGUGAUUAUGAUUCAACUUUUCACUAAGGAACAUAACACAUGGAGUGCUGGAAGCAGUGGAGUGAGCUGGGCAUGUGGCUAUCCGCCAGGCUUCCAAGGUGCAUGGUGUACCUCGGCAGACACUGGCGGACAGGCUGAGCGGUCGGGUGACUCAUGGUUGUCACAAAAAAGGAGCACAGUUCUGGUGCAGAACUGUGUCUACAGCGCCAGCCAUGGGUUCCCCUUCACCAGACAGAGGCUGAUGAAAUAUGCUGACAAAAUACGCAGGUUUAGGCACCCAGGGGAAACAAUCCCACCACUGGGGAAGAGGUGGUGGGAAAUGUUUAGGAGGAGGCACAAGAACCUGAGCAUGAGGAGGCCGGACACCCUGGACAGGGGGAGAGCUGAGUAUGCCACACGUCCAACGAUGGACACCUUCUUCACUUAUGAGAAUCACUUGGAGGAGAGUGGGUUGAGGGAGAAACCCAGACAAAUCUAUAACUGCGAUGAGUCUGGAUUUUGUAGUGACCAGAGCAGGCACAAGUACUGGUUCCCCAGGGAGCAAAACACGUGUACCUGCAGGCUCCGGGGACCAAGGAGCACAUCACAGUGCUGGCCUGCUUGGAUGUCCCCACGUUUAUCAUCUACCCCAAGUGUUUCCCCAGUGGCCACUACACACUGGGAGGCCCCCCUCUCCCGAAGCCUUGUAUGGACGGUCAAACAGUGGCUACAUUGAUGGGGACCUGUUCAGGAAGUGGUUUUCAGCACUUCAUUAAGCAUGCAGUGAAGGAGCGCCCUCUCCUUCUCCUCUUUGAUGGGCACAAGAGCCACAUGGAACCGGAGGUGCUCGCGGCGAAGGGGUUAUACUAUAUUGUCUUCCACCACACUGCACCCAUGUCCUGCAGCCGCUGGAUGUGGCAUACUUUGGCCCUUAAAAGGCUGAGUUCUCCAAGGUAGCUAGAGGCCUUAGCCAUUUUGACAACUCCUACAUGGUAAACAAAUCAGAAUUUUCCAGAGUAUUCCGCUACCCGUACCAGUGCUUCAAGGACAUGUGCUAUGUGGUGGAAGGGUUUAAGAAGUAUGACCUGUUCCUUUUUGACCCUUCAGCCAUUGAAGGGUCCCGUUUAAUGCCGUAUCGGUCCCUACCGGGUCCCACCACCACCUCUCCUGGAACCAGCAGUACUGUGCCGUCCAUCAGCACCUCCUCCCCAGUGACCACAUGAGGACCCUCAGCCCAUGUUCCAGUCCCAGUCCCUGCUCCAGUCUCAGCUCUAGUCCUAGCUCUAGAAGAGCACCCUCUAAUAGAGGGGGGGCUGAUAGCGAAGGACCUGGGGCACAUCCUUACUGUCCUGAAGUAUCGGCUAGACCGAAACAGAAGAUUCCCUAUGGUCGCUACAUGCCUCACCGGGGAGGAAUACACGCGCCAGUGGCAGGAGAGGGAUGAGAAGGAGAGGGCCGAGGCAGAGGAGAAAGAGCUGCCAUGGAUGAGACCAUUGACGCAAUUGCCUCUGCUGGACUCUCAGGACCUGAGCCCUAGGACCAUGCCUCACGACUAUCUGGUCUGAGAACUCCUGGCUGUUCUUUUCCCCAGUCCACCUGGUUGUGCUGCUGGUCCAGUUUCUGCUGUUUUGCCUGUGGCUAUUGAACCCUGACCUGUUCACCGGACGUGCUACCUUAUCCCGGACCUGCUGUUUUUGACUCUCUCUCUCUCUCUCUCUCUCUCUCUCUCUCUCUCUCUCUCUCAACCUCUGAAUGCUCAGCUAUGAAAAGCCAAAUGACAUUUAUUCCUGAGGUGCUGACCUGUUCCACCCUCUACAACCACUGGGAUUAUUAUUUGACCCUGCUGGUCUUUAAUGAACAUUUUAAGAUUUUGAAGUAUGAUCUGGCCUUAAUGGCCAUGUACUCUUAAAAUCUCCAACCGACCACCCUUAGAGUCUGGUUCCUCUCUAGGUUUCUUCCUAGGUUCCUGCUUUCUAGGGAGUUUUUUCUAUCCACCGUUCUCCUACAUCUGCAUUGCUUGCUGUGUGGGGUUUUAGGCUGGGUUUCUGUAUAAGCACUUUGUGACAUCUGUUCAUGUAAAUAGGGCUUCAUAAAUGCAUUUUGAUUUAAUUUCAAAUGGCAUGAAUUAUAUUAUUUUACCAUUUAAAGUGGAACGUUUGAAUAAAUAUAGGCCUACUACCUCUAUAUUCUUAUACUCUAAUUACUAGUUGUACAUUCAUCAACCUUACAGUUUCCGAUGCUCAUGAUACCUGCAUCUGAUGGUCAACGAUGUCAAAUCAUGACGUCAGUAAUCUUCAGGUCGAAAAGUUGGAGCUCUAGAAAGAUGCCCGAGUUUCCGACUUGUAAUUCCGAGUUGGAUGACCAUUCAAAACGAUUUUUCUCAACCGCCUGUCACGGUUCCUGCUCUCUCCUUCCUUUCCUCUGGUGAGACUGACCAGAGAGAGGGGACACCGUCUUCCACCUGAUGGCGAAACUUGAGUCGCACCGCAUCUGCCUCAUGCACAAAUUCAUGUUGUUCCUAUGACCAGAGAAAGUUAAAUAUUCCUUAAUAUUAAAAUCAACACGAC